CGUUCAGCUCCUGUCCUAGAGCCUUGAAGCCCACCCCACGCUGGGCCUUUCUCCAUCUCUGCCAGCGGACUCUUGUGCAGCUUGGAAGGGCAGCGUGUGCGUCGUGGCUCCAGCUCUGCAGCCGUUCAGCUCCUGUCCUAGAGCCUCCAAGCCCACCCCACGCUGGGCCUUUCUCCAUCUCUGCCAUCGGACUCUUGUGUAGCUUGGAAGGGCAGCAUGUGCGUCGUGGCUCCAGCUCUGCAGCCGUUCAGCUCCUGUCCUAGAGCCUCGAAGCCCACCCCACGCUGGGCCUUUCUCCAUCUCUGCCAUCGGACUCUUGUGUAGCUUGGAAGGGCAGCGUGUGCGUCGUGGCUCCAGCUCUGCAGCCGUUCAGCUCCUGUCCUAGAGCCUCCAAGCCCACCCCACGCUGGGCCUUUCUCCAUCUCUGCCAGUGGAUUCUUGUGCAGCUUGGAAGGGCAGCGUGUGCGUCGUGGCUCCAGCUCUGCUGCAGUUCAGCUCCUGUCUUAGAGCCUCGACGCCCACCCCACGCUGGGCCUUUCUCCAUCUCUGCCAGUGGACUCUUGUGCAGCUUGGAAGGGCAGCGUGUGCGUCGUGGCUCCAGCUCUGCAGCUGUUCAGCUCUCAUCCUAGAGCCUUCAAGCCCACCCCACGCUCUGCUUGCUCAGCUCCAACUCCUCAGCUUCUCACUGCCAGCAGCUAAAAUCUGUUCGUGCUUCUCCCUGCUGCCCGGCGCUGUUGGUAAGGUCAGACAUCAGUGAUUGUCAUCACUUCACCAUCUCUAGAGUGGGGUCACGUGCCCUAAGGGGAUCCCAAUUCUGGGGACACUUGAGGCCUGAUGCCCUGCAGUUCCCUCCCCACCCUCCCCCCAGCCCCCUGCCAGGUGUCAGCCCAGCAAUGGCCCAAAGGCCCCCCCUUUACCUCCCCCUGGUAGGCCGUGUUUGAGUGCCAGGUUUAGAAUCUUUACUGAAUUAAAACCAGAUAACCAGUAAAAAAUAGCCUAGUAAAAAAAAUAAGACCAAAAUAAUGAAGUAGUUUAAUAAAGAAGAAAGCUGUGAUCAUGGCAAAUAACAUAAAGUAACAGAAAUUCAAAAAGG